rnacentral:lncRNA from 10 species
CAGGAAUAGAAAUGUUUGAGCAAUAACUUGAUUACAUAAGACAUACUACAGUCUAUGAGGGAAAAGAAUAGAUACCUUUAUAACUAAGCUCAGCAUAUUGUGAAAGACCUGAAGAUGGAGCUCUUUGCAAAGUUUUGAUAGAAUCAUGUUUUUCCCGGGAUGUCAAAGAUAAACUGGAGUUUCAAUCUUGCUAUCUUAACAAGAACAGAGGGAGAACAAAGAAUAAAACAAGAAAAUAAAGCUGACUAUAUUAAAAGAACAGAGGGAAAGGAUACAGACACAAAUCACCCAGGGGAAGAGAUGCAUGGGGCAGAAUCCAAGAAGGUUCCAAACCAGGAGCUUUCAGUUACCCUUCCUCACGGAGUCAUGGACAGCGCUGCUUUUCUGGCAAUGACAUGUGACAAUACACAUCUUCUGGAGUGGGUAGAAGUGACGGGAAGGUGAAUGUAAAGACACAAAGAGGUCCCUAAAUGAUCUGUUCAGCUCCUUUUCAACUACCAUUAAGAACUGCUGUUAGAAGUUUACAAUGUAAAGGAAGAGACAGAGAAGAUAAUCACAACCUUCCAGGUGAAAUACUAAUAGAGAUCUAGGCAUAUACUAGGCUGUAACGAGAUUUGCUCUGAGGACACAUGCUGUCUGUGAAACAUCUUCUGCUUCACUCUGGGAAGAAUGAUUGAAUUUCUUUAGCCACAGUUUUGUUUUCUGUCUCAAGGCGUUCACUGCCAAGGUAGAAGGGAUUCAGCAUGUUCUAGGUCAGGUUUUUACUGAAAAAGAUUUUUAUGUCUUUCUUGAAAAAGUCAUAAAAGGAAAAAGAAAAGAGAAUGGAUGGUCACAAACUAAAUGGUUCAGUUGCGAACGUUGCCUCAAAUAUUUCCUUAAGGCUCAUUAAGAGGAGAUUUUUCGGCAGUAGAAUGAGUGAGUCAGAAAGGUUAAUAUCUGGUAGAUUUUUAAUAGGGUUUUACUAACCUAGAUAAUACAUUAUCCUAUUAGUAGAAAUAUCUAAUUGCAAAGAAUAAUUCAUUGGUCGGCCUUGCUUACAAAAGAGAGUUUAGUUAUUGAGCUAGUAUAAUAGGCUUCUCUGACAUCUAAGAAUUUAUUGCAAAACAGUUAAAACUAUAUGUACAGACUUGACUAGAAGGGUGGUCAUCUUAGUGUUGUGUGUAUUAAUAGUAGACAACAGGCUGGGCAUGGUGGCUCAUGCCUGUAAUCCCAGCACUUUGGGAGACCAAGGUGGGUGGAUCACUUGAGGUCAGGAGUUCGAGACCAGUCUGGCCAACAUGGUGAAACCCCAACUCUACUAAAAAUAAAAAUAAAAAUAAUAAAAAAUGGGCUGGGCAUGGUGGCGGGUGGCUGUAAUCCCAGCUACUUGGGAGGCUGAGGCAGGAGAAUCUUUUGAACCUGGGAGGCAGAGGUUGCAGUGAGCCGAGAUCGCGCCAUUGCACUCCAGCCUGGGUGACAAGAGCAAGACUCCAUCUCAAAAAAAAAAUAAAUAAAUAAUAGACAACAAUGAGAAAAGCUAGGUAUGCAUUAAUUCAAAGUUGUUUAAAUAAAUUAUUGUAACAAGCAAAAUGGAACACUCUGAAGUAAUUUUAACUGACUUAUUGAUAUGAAAAGACGUUUUUGAUAUAGUUUUAGUUGGAAAAAAAUACAGAAUAGUAUUGUAUUGUAAUUUCUAUGUUAAAGUUUUAAUAAAGUUCCUUAAGUGCUGACAAGAUUAUGAGUAAUUUAAAAUUUAUUGUAUUUGCUUUCUGUAUUUUCUAAUUAUCUGGAAUGAACAUGUAUUGUGAUAAGAUAUAUCAGAAUGUUAUGCACAUAGCCCAGUCUUAUUAAUCAAAUAUUUCAAUUAAUAGAAAAUUAUAAGAUAAAUUUCAUAUUGAUUAAUUUGCUUUUUCACUUAACCCCACACUAUAAACAUUUUUCCAUGACAGUAAAUAUUUAUCAAACAUUUUUCUAAAGUUGUUUUCUGUUUUAUUGCUUAAAGGUACAACAGUUUAACCAAACUCGUAUUGAUGAACAAUAUGAUUGUUUUAAGGCUGUAAUAAAACUACUAUUGUAUAUACCUCUGCUUACUUGUAGGAGUAUUUCAUAAGAAAAUUUCUAGUAAUGGAAUUGCUAGACUAGAGAGAAUACUAAUGUAAAAACACUGUAAACAUUACUGUUAAAAAUAUUAGAAUUUUUUCCUGCAAAUAUUCCUCUUAAAUCUAUCAAUUUAUACUCAUACCAUCAGGGUAUGAUUGUUGCCAUUUUCCUUGCCCCUUGAUGUCGUUUGGCUGUGUCCCCAACCCAAAUCUCACCUUGAAUUGUAAUAAUCCCCACAUGUCAAGGGCAGCACCAGAUGGAGAUAAUUGAAUCACGGAGGCAGUUGCCGCCAUGCUGUUCUCGUGAUAGUGAAUGAGUUCUCACGAGAUCUCAUGGUUUUAUAAGGGGGCUAUCCCCUUCACUCAGUACUUUUUCUCUCUCCUGCCGCCCUGUGAAUGUGAAGGGGUGCCUCCCGCCAUGAUUGUACGUUUCCUGAGGCCUCUCCAGCCAUGCGGGACUGUGAGUCAAUUAAACUUCUUUUGUUUAUUAAUUACCCAGUCUCAGAAAUUUCUUCAUAGCAGCAUGAGAAUGGACUAAUACGGCCCUCAAAAACACCAUUUAUUAUCUAUAGCUGUGCUGUUCAAAAUGGAGGCAGUGCCAAUGUGUGACUAUUUAAACUAAUUACAAUUAAAAUACAAUUUAAAAAUUAGUUUCUCAGUCUCAUUAGUCAUACUUCAGGUUGCACAAUAACUACCCGUGGCCAGUGGUUACCAUAGUAGGCAACAUAUACAAACUAUUUCUAUCAUUUCAGAAAUUUCUAUUGCACUGUGCUACGUUGUGCUGUGCAAUAGCACAGUUUUAACCCUUGAUAAUUUGGCAAAUGAAAAACAUCUUGUCUUAAUUUUCAUUCCUUUGAUUUUAUUCAGCUGAGCAUCUUUUUAAACAUAAUUGUUAACUAUGUUAACUUUUUAAACAUAAUUGUUAAGUUUUAUGUUAACAUAAUUGUUAACAUAAAAUUACCUUUUUUUGUCUUUUGCUCAUUUAUAUACUGUGUAGACUUUAUUUUAUAAGAUCUUUAUAUUAUGGAUAUUAACCCUUUAUAAAUAUGUUGCACAGUUUUUCUUAUUUACUGUUUAUCUUUCAAGUAUAUUUAUAGUGUCUUGCAAUAUAGAAGUUUAUGUGGUCAAAUGUGUGAAGCUUUUUCUCCGUGGUCUGAUUUUAAUUUCUAUCUAAAUAAAACACCACCUAAAGAAGUAUAAAAAUAUUAUCUUAUAUUCCUUUAGUACUUUUAGUUUUUUUAUUUAUGUAAAAUAAAUCCAUUUGAUACAAGGUUCUUUUUGUUUCCACAAGUAACCAGUUUUUUAUCAUAAUUAUUGAAUAAAUUCAUUUAUUCCCUAAUGCUUCAAAAUGCC